rnacentral:rRNA from 1 species
UAGGGAAUCUUCCACAAUGGGCGCAAGCCUGAUGGAGCAACACCGCGUGAGUGAAGAAGGGUUUCGGCUCGUAAAGCUCUGUUGUAAGAGAAGAACGUGUGUGAGAGUGGAAAGUUCACACAGUGACGGUAACUUACCAGAAAGGGACGGCUAACUACGUCCCAG